GUGCUCGCUUCGGCGGCACAUAUACUAAAGUUGGAAUGAUACAGAGAAGAUUAGCAUGGCCCCUGUGCAAGGAUGGCACACAAAUUCAUGAAGCGUUCCAUAUUUAA
rnacentral:snRNA from 1 species